rnacentral:rRNA from 1 species
GACGAACGCUGGCGGCGUGCCUAAUACAUGCAAGUCGAACGCAGUGGGGACGGGUGAGUAACACGUGGGUAACCUCCCAUCAGAGGGGAUAACACUUGGAAACAGGUGCUAAACCGAUACUGAUGGAUGGACCCGCGGUGCAUUAGCUAGUUGGUGAGGUAACGGCUCACCAAGGCCAAGAUGCAUAGCGGACUGGAGAGGGGGAUCGGCCACAGUGGAACGGAGACACGGCCCAGACUCCUACGGGAGGCAGCAGUAGGGAAUCUUCGGCAAUGGACGAAAGCCUGAGCAAGCAACGCCGCGUGAGUGAAGAAGGUUUUCGGGUCGUAAAACACUUUUGUUGGGGAGGCGGUAUCUAACCAGAAAGCCACGGCUAACUACGUGCCAGCAGCCGCGGUAAUUC